UACGUAGGGGGCAAGCGUUGUCCGGAAUUAUUGGGCGUAAAGAGCGCGUAGGCGGUCCGAUAAGUCGGCUGUGAAAGUCAGGGGCUCAACCCUUGGAAGCCGGCCGAUACUGUCGGACUAGAGUCCGGAAGAGGCGAGUGGAAUUCCCGGUGUAGCGGUGAAAUGCGCAGAUAUCGGGAGGAACACCAAUGGCGAAGGCAGCUCGCUGGGACGGUACUGACGCUGAGGCGCGAAAGCGUGGGGAGCAAACAGG
rnacentral:rRNA from 1 species